AUUGAACGCUGGCGGCAGGCCUAACCCAUGCAAGUCGAACGAGUGGCGGACGGGUGCGUAAUGUCUGGGAAACUGCCCGAUGGAGGGGGAUAACUACUGGAAACGGUAGCUACUACCGCAUACCAUCGGAUGUGCCCCGAUGGGCUGAGCUGGUUGGUGGGGUAAUGGCUCACCUAGGCGACGCUCCCUAGCUGGUCUGAUAGGAUGACCAGCAAAACUGUAACUGAGACACGGUCCGGGCGCCUACGGGAGGCAGCAGGUGGGAAGAUUGCACAAUGGGCGCAAGCCUGAGGCAGCCAUGCCGCGUGUAUGAAGGAGGCCUUCGGGUUGUAAAGUACUUUCAGCGGGGGGGCGUUACCCGCAGAAGAAGCACCGGCUAACUCCGUGCCAGCCGCCGCGGUAAUAC
rnacentral:rRNA from 1 species